rnacentral:misc_RNA from 1 species
AAAAGAUGCUUUUUUUCUUCAGUACGAUAUAUAAAGUCUUUUGAAUUGAAUUGAAAUAUCAGAAAACUUAGCUUCUUCUGAAAAAUUGUCUAAGGAGAGUAUCCCUAGAGCUCUAUCCAGUAUGAAAGGACCAAUGAUCUGUUUUGUUGUCAUCUGCACUGCCCUUCUUCUCGGAAGUGUGACAUGUGAACCUAUGAAUGAAGCUGAAGCUCGCCACCAUCACCACCACCAUGGACAUCAUCAUCAUGGACACCAUCACCAUGGUCACCAUCAUCAUCACGGGCAUCACCAUCAUGGGCAUCACCAUCAUCAUGGGCAUCAUCACUGAUAAUUCAAGCAAAAAAUAUUAUUAUAAAUUCUAAAAAGAAUGAAGCCUUUUAUUAAAGAGCUUUGAUGAAAUAAACACCAUUAAAAUGCA